rfam:Gossypium raimondii Chr05_contig_290, whole genome shotgun sequence.
AUGUCAUGAUAAGGGCUCUUUCAUAAUAAAUCUUUGAAUCGCUCUCAUGCCUCAUAUAAAGAUUCUACAUCAAGUUGCUAAAAUGAAGUGAUUUCAUUUCGGAUCUU